UUUUUUUCUUUUUUUUUAAAACUGGAUUUCACUAUGUAGUCUUGGAUACUGGAAAUGGCUAUGCAGACCAUACUGAUCUCGAACUCAGGUCUGCCUGCCUCUGCGUGCUGGGAUGAGCCAUGCUAAGCCAACUUAAAAACAAAACAGUGGGGGUUGGGGAUUUGGCUCAGUGGUAGAGCGCUUGAGCGCAAGGCCCUGGGUUCGAUCCCCAGCUGGGGGGGGUGGGGAACAGUGGGCUGGAAAGAGAUGGCUCAGUGGUUGGGAGCACUGAUUGCUCUUCCAGAGGUCCUGAGUUCAAAUCCCAGCAACCACAUGGUGGCUCACAACCUUAUGGGAUGGGAUCUGAUGACUUCUGGUGUGUUUGAAGACACAGCUACAGUGCACUUAAAUAAUAAGUCUUUAAAAAAAAAAAACAAAAAAAGUAAUAUCAGUGCCUACUGAUGACUUCACUCAACAAAUCUCACCCAAUGACCUCAAAGAUGGCUCCUGGGCUGGAGAGAUGGCUCAGUGGUUAAGAGCACUAACCGCUCUUCCAGAGGUCCUGAGUUCAAAUCCCAGCAACCACAUGGUGGCUCAACCAUCUGUAAUGGUGCCCUCUUCUGGUGUGUUUAACGUUUUAAAAAUUCUUUUUUAAAAAAAAAAACC
rnacentral:lncRNA from 1 species